GACGAACGCUGGCGGCGUGGAUUAGGCAUGCAAGUCGAACGGUAGGGACCUUUCGGGGUUCUGAGAGUGGCGAACGGGUGAGUAACACGUAGGUUAUCUACCCUCAAAUUGGGGACAACCCAGGGAAACUUGGGCUAAUACCGAAUGAGUGCAGUUUUAGGAUUGCAUAAAAGAUGGCGUAAGCUGUUGUUUGAGGAUGAGCCUGCGCUCUAUUAGUUAGUCGGUGAGGUAACGGCUCACCAAGGCGAUGAUAGAUAGGCGGCCUUAACGGGUGGUCGCCCANACUGGGAUUGAGAUACGGCCCAGACUCCUACGGGAGCAGCAGUCGAGAAUAGUCUACAAUGGACGAAAGUCUGAUAGUGCGACGCCGCGUGAACGAUGAAUCCC
rnacentral:rRNA from 1 species